rnacentral:rRNA from 1 species
GUGGGGAAUAUUGGACAAUGGGCGCAAGCCUGAUCCAGCCAUGCCGCGUGAGUGAUGAAGGCCUUAGGGUUGUAAAGCUCUUUCAGUGGGGACGAUAAUGACGGUACCCACAGAAGAAGCCCCGGCUAACUGCGUGCCAGCAGCCGCGGUAAUACGAAGGGGGCUAGCGUUGUUCGGAUUUACUGGGCGUAAAGCGCACGUAGGCGGAUCGUUAAGUCGGGGGUGAAAUCCUGGAGCUCAACUCCAGAACUGCCUUCGAUACUGGCGAUCUUGAGUCCGGAAGAGGUGAGUGGAACUCCUAGUGUAGAGGUGGAAUUCGUAGAUAUUAGGAAGAACACCAGUGGCGAAGGCGGCUCACUGGUCCGGUACUGACGCUGAGGUGCGAAAGCGUGGGGAGCAAACAGGAUUAGAUACCCGUGUAGUCC